rnacentral:rRNA from 1 species
AUGCGAGGCGGACGGGUGAGAAACAUUUGUGGUCGUGCCGUUGGCGACUGGAGAUUUGGAAUGCGGCUGUGGCCAUGGGCGGUCCUGGGGCGGGAUCGCGUGUGUGCUGCCUCCAACCUGCUUUGCUGUUCCCGCGAUCUCAAGGUAUGGUAUCGAUCUGCUUUGCGCAUUGCUUUAGGAAAACUGAUUAGUUAUCUAUACAUAGAUGUUUGCAGAUCUGAGGACGAAGGGAAGAAUAAGAAGAAUUUAGCUAGAGAUUUGAAGAAGAUCAAGGUGAUUUUUCUCCCUCCUGUUAAGCUUUGUUAUCUCAUUUUGAUGCUAUUGUUUGUGAUUGAUGUAAACAUGAGGAAGAUAAGAGAUCACAACGAGGCUAAAUGA